rnacentral:rRNA from 1 species
GAUUAACGCGAAGAACCUUACCUACCCUUGACAUGGUCGGAAUCCUGCUGAGAGGUGGGAGUGCUCGAAAGAGAACCGGCGCACAGGUGCUGCAUGGCUGUCGUCAGCUCGUGUCGUGAGAUGUUGGGUUAAGUCCCGCAACGAGCGCAACCCUUGUCCUUAGUUGCUACGCAAGAGCACUCUAAGGAGACUGCCGGUGACAAACCGGAGGAAGGUGGGGAUGACGUCAAGUCCUCAUGGCCCUUAUGGGUAGGGCUUCACACGUCAUACAAUGGUCGGAACAGAGGGUUGCCAACCCGCGAGGGGGAGCUAAUCCCAGAAAACCGAUCGUAGUCCGGAUUGCACUCUGCAACUCGAGUGCAUGAAGCUGGAAUCGCUAGUAAUCGCGGAUCAGCAUGCCGCGGUGAAUACGUUCCCAGGCCUUGUACACACCGAAUCACUAGU